GGAGAGAUGACCGAGCGGUUGAAGGUGCUCGCCUGGAAAGCGUGUAUACAGGAAACUGUAUCGGGGGUUCGAAUCCCCCUCUCUCCGCCA
rnacentral:tRNA from 1 species